AGACCGACCCCGGGCCUGGCUCCCUGGUCUCCCACCGCAGACCUCAUCCCACUCUCCUCUUUUUUUCCUGUGGAGAAAUGAGCUGGGAGAAACUGUAGUCAAAUGUUCUUCUGUGACCUAAUCUACUGCCUUUCAAGUAGUGCCAGCCCAGAGCUCUAACCCUGCCGACACAUCUGAAAACUCCUCAGCCCAUUGUCUGAGGAUGGGACCCAGCUGACCUACUAAAGCCCAAAUAAGCGCAGUGCAGCUCCUCCCUGUAGUUUUCAUGUGUGCCUGGGAACAAGCGUUAUGGUCCUGUCCCUGCCUGCGACAAGAUUUCUUUCUUCUGCACGGUUGCAGAGCUACUGCUUCGGAGCACGCGCAGUCUGACUCAGGAGCACGCUGAGAGCCAGCUUUACAGAAAGUGACAACAGAAGAGAAGGGACACAGUCCUGCGGGGCACUUGUGGCCACAUGUAGCAUAUGGCGCAACACACCAAAGGCAUGGUUUACACGUGAGUCCUAUAUUUUUUUCUACGUGAUGAAUCAUUCUGUUAAUACCAAAUGCUGUUCCAAUCAUCUGUACUUUUUUCUCCAAGCAUAACAGAGAGAAGAAAAAUGUGGAGUCAUUUGCUUUGUUUCUUCAACAAAAGAAAGAUGUAGACUUAUACCGCUUCUUUUGUCCAAAGAUCUCAGUAUGCCUACCCACCUGGUAUCGUAUUUGUCUUUGGUUCAUCCCUAAAAAGUCAAUAAAUGGUUAUGCUGGCAGCACUACCAGGGAAGAUAGGAAUAUGCUGGCUGGUUGCUGCUCACCACAAGGGGGAGCCAUUGCAUCCUCCUAGAUAAUCAUUCACACAGCAGUCGGGGCUGGUUCUACACCUGAAACAGCCCCGCAAGGAGCUGCCAACUGUAACAGCAGAAAGUGGGCAGGGAUUCCAAAAGGAGAGAAAAUGGGUGCUCGGGAAAAAUGCCUUAGAUGAUGCAGAUACAGAAGGACUAUUUCCAUGAGCCAAGAAGUAGAAACAAUGUCAGGACCAGAUGGCGUGAUAAACAAUGCUAACAAGAUACACUGCAGUGGAACAUUACACAGCCUGAAAAUCUAUAGUUCUGACCUACAGGUAGCACUUGGGUGAACCUGGAAAAUAUCAUGCUAAGUGGAAGAUCAUGGAGGCAAAGGCACCAUUGCAUAGUCUCAGAUGUAUAUGAAAUAGAACAUGCAAAUUAUACAAAUACAAUACAGACCGUUGACUUCCAGCAGCAAGUAGUGUUGGAUAGGGACAGACUGCUUAGCAAAUAUGAGGUUUAUUUGGGGGCAGGGAAAUGCUGGGGAACCCAGGAGAGUGUAGCCCUGUGUGUGUUGUAGGCCACGGGAUUCUUCACUUUAGAAUGAUAAAUUGUGUUAUGUGAAAUUUUAUCAUUAUCAUUAUUAUUAUUAUUGGUCUUUCAGGACAGGGUGUCUCUGUGUAGUCCUGGCUGUCCUAGAACUCACCCUGUAGAUCAGGCUAGCCUAGAACUCAUAGGAAUGCCUGCCUCUGCCUCCUGAGUGCACACCAUCACUGCCCAGUUUGCUAUGUAAAUGUAUCCCAAUAAAUUUUUUUCAAUAAAAACAUUUGAGUGAUGCAUUAGACAACAGAUGUCUGGGACAGGACAGUGAUAUCUCGUCAGACACCACCCUAGAAGGAACAUUUGAGACAACAAAUAUAAUGUAUAAUAAAGAAGUAAUAUAAAGCUAA